GGGUUGUGAGGUUAAGCGACUAAGCGUACACGGUGGAUGCCCUGGCAGUCAGAGGCGAUGAAGGACGUGCUAAUCUGCGAUAAGCGUCGGUAAGGUGAUAUGAACCGUUAUAACCGGCGAUUUCCGAAUGGGGAAACCCAGUGUGAUUCGUCACACUAUCAUUACGUGAAUACAUAGCGUAAUGAAGCGAACCGGGGGAACUGAAACAUCUAAGUACCCCGAGGAAAAGAAAUCAACCGAGAUUCCCCCAGUAGCGGCGAGCGAACGGGGAGCAGCCCAGAGUCUGAAUCAGCUUGUGUGUUAGUGGAACGGUCUGGAAAGUCCGACGGUACAGGGUGAUAGUCCCGUACACCAAAAUGCACAGGUUGUGAACUCGAAGAGUAGGGCGGGACACGUGGUAUCCUGUCUGAAUAUGGGGGGACCAUCCUCCAAGGCUAAAUACUCCUGACUGACCGAUAGUGAACCAGUACCGUGAGGGAAAGGCGAAAAGAACCCCGGCGAGGGGAGUGAAAAAGAACCUGAAACCGU
rnacentral:rRNA from 1 species